rnacentral:rRNA from 1 species
AACUCACCUGCCGAAUGAACUAGCCCUGAAAAUGGAUGGCGCUUAAGCGUAUUACCCAUACCUCGCCGCCAGGGUAGAAACUAUGCCCUGGCGAGUAGGCAGGCGUGGAGGUUGUGACGAAGCCUUGGGAGUGAUCCCGGGUAGAACAGCCUCUAGUGCAGAUCUUGGUGGUAGUAGCAAAUACUCAAAUGAGAACUUUGAGGACUGAAGUGGGGAAAGGUUCCAUGUGAACAGCAGUUG